rnacentral:rRNA from 1 species
UACGUAGGGUGCAAGCGUUGUCCGGAAUUAUUGGGCGUAAAGAGCUCGUAGGCGGUCUGUCGCGUCGGCUGUGAAAACUCGGGGCUCAACUCCGAGCUUGCAGUCGAUACGGGCAGGCUAGAGUUCGGCAGGGGAGACUGGAAUUCCUGGUGUAGCGGUGAAAUGCGCAGAUAUCAGGAGGAACACCGGUGGCCAAGGCGGGUCUCUGGGCCGAUACUGACGCUGAGGAGCGAAAGCGUGGGGAGCGAACAGG